AACCAGUACCGUGAGGGAAAGGCGAAAAGAACCCCUGUGAGGGGAGUGAAAUAGAUCCUGAAACCGCAUGCAUACAAGCAGUGGGAGCCGACUUGUUCGGUGACUGCGUACCUUUUGUAUAAUGGGUCAGCGACUUAUAUUCAGUGGCAAGGUUAACCGAAUAGGGGAGCCGUAGAGAAAUCGAGUCUUAAUAGGGCGUUUAGUUGCUGGGUGUAGACCCGAAACCGGGUGAUCUAUCCAUGAGCAGGUUGAAGGUUGGGUAACACUAACUGGAGGACCGAACCCACUGUCGUUGAAAAGCCAGGGGAUGACUUGUGGAUAGGGGUGAAAGGCUAAUCAAGCCUGGUGAUAGCUGGUUCUCCCCGAAAGCUAUUUAGGUAGCGCCUCGGACGAAUACCAUUGGGGGUAGAGCACUGUUUCGGCUAGGGGGUCAUCCCGACUUACCAAACCGAUGCAAACUCCGAAUACCAAUGAGUACUAUCCGGGAGACAGACUGCGGGUGCUAACGUCCGUAGUCAAGAGGAAAACAAUCCAGACCGCCAGCUAAGGCCCCAAAAUCAUAGUUAAGUGGGAAACGAUGUGGGAAGGCAUAGACAGCUAGGAGGUUGGCUUAGAAGCAGCCACCCUUUAAAGAAAGCGUAAUAGCUCACUAGUCGAGUCGGCCUGCGCGGAAGAUGUAACGGGGCUAAAACUAUGUGCCGAAGCUGCGGAUUUGACUUUUAGUCAAGUGGUAGGGGAGCGUUCUGUAAGCCGAUGAAGGUGUAUUGAGAAGUAUGCUGGAGGUAUCAGAAGUGCGAAUGCUGACGUGAGUAACGACAAAACGGGUGAAAAACCCGUUCGCUGAAAGACCAAGGGUUCCAGUCCAACGUUAAUCGGGGCUGGGUGAGUCGACCCCUAAGGCGAGGCCGAGAGGCGUAGUCGAUGGGAAAUUGGUUAAUAUUCCAAUACUUCUGUGUAAUGCGAUGAGAGGACGGAGAAGGUUAAGUCAGCCUGGCGUUGGUUGUCCAGGUGGAAGGCAGUAGGCAUGCAUCUUAGGCAAAUCCGGGGUGCUCUAUGCUGAGAGCUGAUAGCAAGCUGUACUUGUACAGCGAAGUGGCUGAUACCAUGCUUCCAGGAAAAGCCUCUAAGCUUCAGUGAUACAGGAAUCGUACCCGAAACCGACACAGGUGGUCAGGUCGAGUAGACCAAAGCGCUUGAGAGAACUCUGCUGAAGGAACUAGGCAAAAUGGUACCGUAACUUCGGGAGAAGGUACGCUGCUGACGGUGAUGAUCCUUGCGGUCUGAGCUAUUGGCAGCCACAGAAACCAGGCCGCUGCAACUGUUUAUUAAAAACAUAGCACUCUGCAAACACGAAAGUGGACGUAUAGGGUGUGAUGCCUGCCCGGUGCUGGAAGGUUAAUUGAUGGGGUUAGCGUAAGCGAAGCUCUUGAUCGAAGCCCCAGUAAACGGCGGCCGUAACUAUAACGGUCCUAAGGUAGCGAAAUUCCUUGUCGGGUAAGUUCCGACCUGCACGAAUGGCAUAAUGAUGGCGGCGCUGUCUCCAGCAGAGGCUCAGUGAAAUCGAA
rnacentral:rRNA from 1 species